AGAGUUUGAUCCUGGCUCAGAUUGAACGCUGGCGGCAUGCCUUACACAUGCAAGUCGAACGGCAGCAUAGGAGCUUGCUCCUGAUGGCGAGUGGCGAACGGGUGAGUAAUAUAUCGGAACGUGCCCUAGAGUGGGGGAUAACUAGUCGAAAGACUAGCUAAUACCGCAUACGAUCUGCGGAUGAAAGUGGGGGAUCGCAAGACCUCAUGCUCCUGGAGCGGCCGAUAUCUGAUUAGCUAGUUGGUGGGGUAAAAGCCUACCAAGGCAACGAUCAGUAGCUGGUCUGAGAGGACGACCAGCCACACUGGGACUGAGACACGGCCCAGACUCCUACGGGAGGCAGCAGUGGGGAAUUUUGGACAAUGGGGGCAACCCUGAUCCAGCAAUGCCGCGUGAGUGAAGAAGGCCUUCGGGUUGUAAAGCUCUUUUGUCAGGGAAGAAACGGUGGUAGCGAAUAACUACUACUAAUGACGGUACCUGAAGAAUAAGCACCGGCUAACUACGUGCCAGCAGCCGCGGUAAU
rnacentral:rRNA from 1 species